CUCCGUGUAGAGCCCUCCCCCGUCCUACUUUUCAGGGAAAGGGCGGAAGAGGCGGACAAAUGGGAGUGGGAUCACGGGGGAGAUAUUUUUGAUGUUUCUGAGACUAGGUGGACACUCUCAGCUGACUCCAGCCCUGAAAGAGGAGUAGAGGAAGCGUGUAGCCCAUUGUAUCUUUGCAUCAGCGAGAGCUAUGCCUGGCCCCUGUGUCGAAAUGGGUCACUGCAUGGGUUGCCAAGCUCUCAUCUGUUCACUGCUCUCCAGGAUUUGUCAGCACACAGCAAAGCUCUGCUGCAGCCAUACAGCCAUUGCCAGCCUUAUCAAGCUGAGUGCUUCUCUAAACCUCCUCCAACAAACUGUCUUUUAUUUCUCUUACCAUUGAUGGACUGUGCCGUUACCAUCGACAUCUGCUUCAUUAAUCAUGUCCUCUAACUUUGUUUUUGUGGGAUUCUGCGUAAGACUUCAUGACAGCUCCCCACUCCUUUGUUGUUUUAGUUCCACUACCAUCCUUGUCAAAUGGUAAGAAGUCAUCUAGUUCAAUGCUCAGGAACCACAUGGUGAAAAGAGUGAAUCAAUUUGUGAAAGUUGUUCUCUGACGUCUACACCAAGUGUAGCAAGUUCAAGCAUAUGCACACACAGACACACACAUCGUUUCAUUCUCAUCUUUUGGUUCAAGACAGGGUUUCUCUUUGUAGUGCUGACUGUGCUGAAACUCAUUCUAUAGACCAGGCUGGCCUCAAACUCAGACAUCGAUCUGCUUCUGCCUCCUGAAUGCUGGAAUUAAAGGCAUGUGCCACACCUGGCACCAUGACUAAUUUUUGCCAUGAACGUGCUGGGUGGGUUCAGACAGUGAGAAUUCCCAGUUAAGCGUUCUGUCUCCUGCCUGUCAUGAGCCACUCUGUUUUUUGACAUUGCUCUGUGUUCUGUUAAACAAUAGACCUGUCGUUACACAGAAACGUUUAAUCCUAGGAAAUAAAAUGAAGCUUGAUUUUGAA